UAGAUUUGAAUGCAAAGAAAAGGAGAUUAGAAGCAAGUAAUGAAGCCAUCUGUAACUCAUUUAUUUUAGAAGUUGAACUUACCUCGAGUCAUUCUUGCCCAGUCUCCAAUGAUAUGGCAAACAAUAUUCUUGAAGAAAUAGUUGAAGAAUGUAGCCUUCUCUCAUCCACUCUCACUAAUAGCACCCUUCCUAUAUUAGAUACUGUAAAUCAUCAGAAAAGGAAGAGAUGCAUAGAAAGCCUUUUAAAAUAUACCAACCCUCAGUUCCUUCAAGAAAAACAUAAAUUUGACCAGGCCAUCAAAAUGAAAGAACUGGAAUUACAACAAAGAAAAUUAGAAUUAGAGGAGGAGAAAUUGGGAUUAGAGGAAUAAAGACUGGAAACAGAGAAUGUUGAACAGUAAACUAGAUUAGAAAUGGAAAUGAAAGAACGACAACAAAGACUUAUGCAAGUUGAGAAGCAAUUGAAUUUAAUGGAUGUAUGUUGCAACUGUUCAGCAAAAAAUGAAGUGUAUCUUCCUUUCUAUUUCCA
rnacentral:lncRNA from 1 species